rnacentral:rRNA from 1 species
GAUUAAGUUAUUAAGGGCGCACGGUGGAUGCCUUGGCACUAGAAGCCGAUGAAGGACGUUACUAACGACGAUAUGCUUUGGGGAGCUGUAAGUAAGCUUUGAUCCAGAGAUUUCCGAAUGGGGAAACCCAGCAUGAGUUAUGUCAUGUUAUCGAUAUGUGAAUACAUAGCAUAUCAGAAGGCACACCCGGAGAACUGAAACAUCUUAGUACCCGGAGGAAGAAGAAAAUUCGAUUCCCUUAGUAGCGGCGAGCGAAACGGGAAGAGCCCAAACCAACAAGCUUGCUUGUUGGGGUUGUAGGACACUCUAUACGGAGUUACAAAGGACGACAUUAGACGAAUCAUCUGGAAAGAUGAAUCAAAGAAGGUAAUAAUCCUGUAGUCGAAAAUGUUGUCUCUCUUGAGUGGAUCCUGAGUACGACGGAACACGUGAAAUUAAAUACUCCCUGGUGACCGAUAGUGAAGCAGUACCGUGAGGGAAAGGUGAAAAGCACCCCGGAAGGGGAGUGAAAGAGAACCUGAAACCGUGUGCUUACAAGAAGUCAGAGCCCGAUAAUGGGUGAUGGCGUGCCUUUUGUAGAAUGAACCGGCGAGUUACGUUUGCGUGCAAGGUUAAGGUGAAAAGCCGCAGCCGAACCGAACCCACGCACGUUGAAAAGUGCGGGGAUGAGGUGUGGGUAGCGGAGAAAUUCCAAUCGAACCUGGAGAUAGCUGGUUCUCUCCGAAAUAGCUUUAGGGCUAGCCUCAAGUGAUGAUUAUUGGAGGUAGAGCACUGUUUGGACGAGGGGCCCCUCUCGGGUUACCGAAUUCAGACAAACUCCGAAUGCCAAUUAAUUUAACUUGGGAGUCAGAACAUGGGUGAUAAGGUCCGUGUUCGAAAGGGAAACAGCCCAGACCACCAGCUAAGGUCCCAAAAUAUAUGUUAAGUGGAAAAGGAUGUGGCGUUGCCCAGACAACUAGGAUGUUGGCUUAGAAGCAGCCAUCAUUUAAAGAGUGCGUAAUAGCUCACUAGUCGAGUGACACUGCGCCGAAAAUGUACCGGGGCUAAACAUAUUACCGAAGCUGUGGAUUGUCCUUUGGACAAUGGUAGGAGAGCGUUCUAAGGGCGUUGAAGCAUGAUCGUAAGGACAUGUGGAGCGCUUAGAAGUGAGAAUGCCGGUGUGAGUAGCGAAAGACGGGUGAGAAUCCCGUCCACCGAUUGACUAAGGUUUCCAGAGGAAGGCUCGUCCGCUCUGGGUUAGUCGGGUCCUAAGCUGAGGCCGACAGGCGUAGGCGAUGGAUAACAGGUUGAUAUUCCUGUACCACCUAUAAUCGUUUUAAUCGAUGGGGGGACGCAGUAGGAUAGGCGAAGCGUGCGAUUGGAUUGCACGUCUAAGCAGUAAGGCUGAGUAUUAGGCAAAUCCGGUACUCGUUAAGGCUGAGCUGUGAUGGGGAGAAGACAUUGAGUCUUCGAGUCGUUGAUUUCACACUGCCGAGAAAAGCCUCUAGAUAGAAAAUAGGUGCCCGUACCGCAAACCGACACAGGUAGUCAAGAUGAGAAUUCUAAGGUGAGCGAGCGAACUCUCGUUAAGGAACUCGGCAAAAUGACCCCGUAACUUCGGGAGAAGGGGUGCUCUUUAGGGUUAACGCCCAGAAGAGCCGCAGUGAAUAGGCCCAAGCGACUGUUUAUCAAAAACACAGGUCUCUGCUAAACCGUAAGGUGAUGUAUAGGGGCUGACGCCUGCCCGGUGCUGGAAGGUUAAGAGGAGUGGUUAGCUUCUGCGAAGCUACGAAUCGAAGCCCCAGUAAACGGCGGCCGUAACUAUAACGGUCCUAAGGUAGCGAAAUUCCUUGUCGGGUAAGUUCCGACCCGCACGAAAGGCGUAACGAUUUGGGCACUGUCUCAACGAGAGACUCGGUGAAAUCAUAGUACCUGUGAAGAUGCAGGUUACCCGCGACAGGACGGAAAGACCCUAGGUAGGAGCCUUUGAAACGUGAGCGCUAGCUUACGUGGAGGCGCUGGUGGGAUACUACCCUAGCUGUGUUGGCUUUCUAACCCGCACCACUUAUCGUGGUGGGAGACAGUGUCAGGCGGGCAGUUUGACUGGGGCGGUCGCCUCCUAAAAGGUAACGGAGGCGCUCAAAGGUUCCCUCAGAAUGGUUGGAAAUCAUUCAUAGAGUGUAAAGGCAUAAGGGAGCUUGACUGCGAGACCUACAAGUCGAGCAGGGUCGAAAGACGGACUUAGUGAUCCGGUGGUUCCGCAUGGAAGGGCCAUCGCUCAACGGAUAAAAGCUACCCCGGGGAUAACAGGCUUAUCUCCCCCAAGAGUUCACAUCGACGGGGAGGUUUGGCACCUCGAUGUCGGCUCAUCGCAUCCUGGGGCUGUAGUCGGUCCCAAGGGUUGGGCUGUUCGCCCAUUAAAGCGGUACGCGAGCUGGGUUCAGAACGUCGUGAGACAGUUCGGUCCCUAUCCGUCGUGGGCGUAGGAAAUUUGAGAGGAGCUGUCCUUAGUACGAGAGGACCGGGAUGGACAUACCUCUGGUGUACCAGUUGUCGUGCCAACGGCAUAGCUGGGUAGCUAUGUGUGGACGGGAUAAGUGCUGAAAGCAUCUAAGCAUGAAGCCCCCCUCAAGAUGAGAUUUCCCAACUUCGGUUAUAAGAUCCCUCAAAGAUGAUGAGGUUAAUAGGUUCGAGGUGGAAGCAUGGUGACAUGUGGAGCUGACGAAUACUAAUCGAUCGAAGACUUAAUCAA